UACGAAGGGUGCAAGCGUUAAUCGGAAUUACUGGGCGUAAAGGGUGCGUAGGCGGUUCGUUAAGUCUGUCGUGAAAUCCCCGGGCUCAACCUGGGAAUGGCGAUGGAUACUGGCGAGCUAGAGUGUGUCAGAGGAUGGUGGAAUUCCCGGUGUAGCGGUGAAAUGCGUAGAGAUCGGGAGGAACAUCAGUGGCGAAGGCGGCCAUCUGGGACAACACUGACGCUGAAGCACGAAAGCGUGGGGAUCAAACAGG
rnacentral:rRNA from 1 species